rnacentral:rRNA from 1 species
AUUGAACGCUGGCGGCAUGCCUUACACAUGCAAGUCGAACGGUAACAGGUCUUCGGUUGCUGACGAGUGGCGAACGGGUGAGUAAUACAUCGGAACGUGCCCGAUCGUGGGGGCUAACGCAUCGAAAGCUGUGCUAAUACCGCAUACGAUCUACGGAUGAAAGCGGGGGAUCGCAAGACCUCGCGCGGACGGAGCGGCCGAUGGCAGAUUAGGUAGUUGGUGGGAUAAAAGCUUACCAAGCCGACGAUCUGUAGCUGGUCUGAGAGGACGACCAGCCACACUGGGACUGAGACACGGCCCAGACUCCUACGGGAGGCAGCAGUGGGGAAUGUUGGACAAUGGGCGCAAGCCUGAUCCAGCAAUGCCGCGUGCAGGAUGAAGGCCUUCGGGUUGUAAACUGCUUUUGUACGGAACGAAAAAGAUCUCUCUAAUACAGGGGGUGAAUGACGGUACCGGAAGAAUAAGCACCGGCUAACUACGUG